AUUGUUCUGUCCAAUUCCUGCAGGAUAUUCUCUUCUCUGAGUUCUUUGUAGAAACCUUGGCUAGUGGCGGUAACAUGGGUGUGGUGUGAUGGUUGAAGCAGCCAGGCAUCAUGGGUCUUACUAUGGAAUGUUGGCUGGUCUGAAACUUGUAGAAAUCCACUUGCCUCUGCCUCCAUAGAGCUCGGAUUUAAAGGCCUGUGGCUUCACUCCCAGUACAACAGUCUUAUUUUCAAAAUGAAGUUUCUGUCAGAGGAUCAACAAUCAAACAAAACCUUCUGUGAGAACAUUUCACAGGUUACUUGAAAAUAAAACCCGUCCUGUAUAACAAC